UACGUAGGGUGCGAGCGUUAAUCGGAAUUACUGGGCGUAAAGCGUGCGCAGGCGGUCUGUUAAGACCGAUGUGAAAUCCCCGGGCUUAACCUGGGAACUGCAUUGGUGACUGGCAGGCUUUGAGUGUGGCAGAGGGGAGGUGAGAAUUCCACGUGGUAAGCGUGAAAUGCGUAGAGAUGUGGAGGAAUACCGAUGGCGAAGGCAGCCUCCUGGGCCAACACUGACGCUCAUGCACGAA
rnacentral:rRNA from 1 species